rnacentral:rRNA from 1 species
CCUACGGGUGGCAGCAGUGAGGAAUAUUGGUCAAUGGGCGCGAGCCUGAACCAGCCAAGUCGCGUGAAGGAUGACGGCCCUACGGGUUGUAAACUUCUUUUAUAAAGGAGUAAAGUGGUCCACGUGUGUCCUUAUGUAUGUACUCUAUGAAUAAGGAUCGGCUAACUACGUGCCAGCAGCCGCGGUAAUACGGAGGAUCGGAGCGUUAUUCGGAUUUAUUGGGGUUAAAGGGAGCGGAGGGGGAAUGAUAAGUCAGUUGUGAAAGAUUCGGGGUGAACCCGAGAAGUGCAGUUGAAACUGGUGGUCUUGAGUGUGUGAGAGGUAGGCGGAAUGCGUGGUGUAGCGGUGAAAUGCUUAGAUAUCACGCAGAACUCCGAUUGCGAAGGCAGUUUACCGGCGUCCAACUGACGCUGAAGCACGAAAGCGUGGGUAUCGAACAGGAUUAGAUACCCUGGUAGUC